rnacentral:RNase_P_RNA from 1 species
CGACCGGGACGGGCAGUCGCGUGCCGCUCUCCAAAGGGGGCGGUAUGAGGAAAGUCCGGGCUCCACAGGGCAAGAAUAACGGGUAACGCCCGCCGAAGGCGACUUCAGGAAAAGUGCAACAGAGAGAUACCGCCACGUUUUUAUUCCGCAACCCGAUUAUGUGGUUGCCUUGACGUGGUAAGGGUGGAAAGGCGAGGUAAGAGCUCACCCAUCACACGGGAACGUCGUGAUGCUGUAAACUCUAUUCGGAGCAACACCGUGGAGGAGGCAAAUGGUUGGCCCGACCGUCUCCGAGGAGGUGGCUGGAGCGUAUCGGUAACGGUGCGCCAAGAUAGAUGGCUGUCGAUUACAGAACCCGGCUUAUAGUCCCGAUCGCAAA